UCGCUUCGGCAGCAUGCACCCUAAAACCGGAACGACACAGAGGAGAGACUAGCAUGGCCUUGCACAGGGAUGACAAGCCAAUUGACGAAGCUUUCCGUAUUUUU